UACGUAGGUGGCAAGCGUUUGUCCGGAAUUAUUGGGCGUAAAGCGCGCGCAGGCGGCCUCUUAAGUCUGAUGUGAAAGCCCCCGGCUCAACCGGGGAGGGCCAUUGGAAACUGGGAGGCUUGAGUAUAGGAGAGAAGAGUGGAAUUCCACGUGUAGCGGUGAAAUGCGUAGAGAUGUGGAGGAACACCAGUGGCGAAGGCGACUCUUUGGCCUAUAACUGACGCUGAGGCGCGAGAGCGUGGGGAGCAAACAGG
rnacentral:rRNA from 1 species